AAAAUUUUAAGUUUUAUCGGACAUCGAGCAUCUCAAAAUAGGCGAUGAAGAGCUCAAAAAAACUGCAACAGAAGCCAGUGUGCAUGCAAGAAGGAGUGCUUUGGUAGCUAACAGAGG